UGGGGAAUAUUGCACAAUGGGCGGAAGCCUGAUGCAGCGACGCCGCGUGAGGGAUGACGGCCUUCGGGUUGUAAACCUCUUUCGGUAGGGACGAAGCGUUUUGUGACGGUACCUACAGAAGAAGCGCCGGCCAACUACGUGCCAGCAGCCGCGGUAAGACGUAGGGCGCGAGCGUUGUCCGGAUUUAUUGGGCGUAAAGAGCUCGUAGGCGGCUUGUUGCGUCAGCUGUGAAAGCCCAUGGCUUAACUGUGGGUUGGCAGCUGAUACGGGCAGGCUAGAGUUCGGUAGGGGAGACUGGAAUUCCUGGUGUAGCGGUGAAAUGCGCAGAUAUCAGGAGGAACACCGGUGGCGAAGGCGGCUUGCUGGGCCCUGUCCUGACGCUGAGGAGCGAAAGCGUGGGGAGCGAACAGGAUUAGAUACC
rnacentral:rRNA from 1 species